rnacentral:tRNA from 1 species
UGUGGGGUGGAGAAGUGGUAUCUCGCCAGGCUCAUAAUCUGGAGGUCGCAGGUUCGAUCCCUGCCCCCGCAA